UCAUAUGGAAACACAGCUAAAAAUAGUGAACAGACUCUAAGAUCACCAUAUAACGAUCUAGGGGCACCCAGGUGGCUCAGUCGGUUGGGUGUCUGACUCUUGAUUUUGGCUCAGGUCCUGAUCUCAGGAUCAUGGGAUCAUGUCACGGGAUCAAGCCCCGGAGCUCUUUCCAGAGGACCCAACUAAAGACACUUGGUUACAGCAAUGGUUUCUGGGAAGUAGACUCUGAUAUGGGGUCUUGGAGAUAGAUUGCCCACUGGCCAGCUGGCAAUGAGGACCCCACCAAGGGUGCUGCGUUCCUGCUCCUGAGCCUGGCUGUAAGGCUGAGACCCGAGUGGAGAGCCGCCCUCGAGAUCCCUCACGUCUUCUACACCUUUCUGUGCCCCUCAGAACCGAACAUCAAUUUUAUGGAGGAACAGUAAGUGGUCCCAUAUUGAGGCAGCCUGCACAGAUGGUCAUCAUGCACCUACUAGGUGCCAAGCAGUGAGCAACAGAAGAAUUCUUACCCUCUUGGAGGUUACAUUCUUACCGGAGAAGACAAGACAGUAAUAUACAUACAUAUAUAGACAUGUCAAGUCAUCUUAAGUGCUGAAAGAAAGAAAGAAAGAAAGAAAGAAAGAAAGAAAAGG